rnacentral:tRNA from 1 species
CUCCAGUUAGCCUAGUGGUUAAGGCUAUGGAUUGCCAAUCCGGAGACGGCGGGUUUGAUUCCCAUUCUGGUCG